GAAAGAUUUUCCAAAAUGUGGCGUUCCAUCUGUAGAUGUUUACCUUUCUUUCGAAAGAAACACUGCGUUGGAACAUCCAAUGAAAUCGUUUUGAAUUAUAUUGAGAUCGUCGACAUUCUUGCUUUGGUAAGUAUCAAUAUGAACUAAACAAAUCUCCUCUCAUUUCUCCUUUGAAUAAUAAUCAGACUCGGCCCUGGAUCUAUAAUCACGGCCACCUUCCCCCACUUUUAAACCCAGCUCCUAUUGUAAUUAAACUACAAAUCACCCAUUACCAUUA